UGCCGAAUUAACUGAUCGAAGGCAAAUAAGACCAAAUUCUGAGCCUCAAAUAGAUAGUACCAUUUUUGCUGGGGCUUUAUCAUACAGGUUUUCUUCUAGUUUGUACCGCCACCCAAGAAAUGUUUUAGGUAAAUGAACCUCCAGACCAGCUGAGGGACUAGAGAAGGUCCCUACCUAGUCCCGCGAUUGGCAGUUUGGCUGGCCCCUCAAAUUUGAUUUUGCCUAAAGUCAUACAAGAUAAACUAGCCCUUCUCAAGAAGCCCUUCCCUCAAAACAACAGAAACGGCAUUGGAAAAAGAAGUUGGAAUUAACCAGUAUGUGCUCUUUAAAGAAGUAUGUUAAUGAGGCAUUAUAAUGAUAUUAUGUAGAAAUUUAAGUCUUGUAAAAAUUUGGAAACAAAGAAAAUGAAAAAUACAUACUUUACAAAUAGGUCUUAGAAGAUUGAAAAAUAAAAUAAUAUCAAUGCAUCAGUUAAUUGAUUACUUAAAAGAAAAAUAUUUGAUAAGUGAAUCAACUGAAUUGACCAUUCAGGCUUCCUUAGCUGAACCAGUACAAAGUAUUUUUGAAAGAAUGUUAAAAGGACCUGCCACACAAAAAUCCAAUCUUCUGCUACUAUCCUUUGCUUUAACAUUGUCAUUUUAUUCGCCGAAAACAUAGAAUUUAUAAAGGAUACAUAAACUGGCCCAGAGUUUUCUUAGGAGGCCUCUAAAUUCCAUUUAGUUUUCAACAAUAUUUUUGAUAUUUUUAACUCUCAGAAUGGAUUUACAAAAUAUUCAUAUAAAAAAUUAUCAAAAAUAUAAGAACAACAUACUUUUUAAUAAUUUUGAAAUAAUUAAAUUGUAUAUUAUUGGACUUACUUUAAAAGAAAGGUCAACCAUAGUCACAAAGAAAAACGGGAUUUAUGGGCUUUCUAAUUUGUAUGGAAAGCUUACAACGUAUGUAUAAAUACUAUGUAAAAGAAAAUCAAUUAUUAAAAUAUAUUUUGACUAACUGGUGGAGGUCCACGUAUACAAGAAGCAAAAACGGAAGAUAAUAAUAUAUUCAAUCAAUGUAAAAAUGAGAAGAGCAUUGUGGGAUUAAAAAACAUGAUGGUGAUAGAUUGUCUAAAACUAAUAGGAGUACUGGUAUUUCUCAAAACAAAACUGAUAGUUACAAAGAAACAGAAGAAAAGGGAAGAUAUUAAUUUACUAGACAAAAGGCUGUUCUUUUGAAAUAUGGAGAUGGGCAAAAUUCAAAGUAGUAGUAUUCAAAACAGAGAAGAACAUAAGCUAAAGAAAAAAAGGGUUGUUAGACAUUGAAAUAAAAAAAGAACAGUAAAGUUCUCAAAGAGAACUUACUUAAUAAUUUUAAUUAGUGUUUAUAUUGUAAUGUAAAAAAUGUAAUGUAUGUUAUUUCUGAAUAAAAGACAUUUAAUAAUGA
rnacentral:lncRNA from 1 species